rnacentral:rRNA from 1 species
CCUACGGGUGGCUGCAGUGGGGAAUAUUGGACAAUGGGGGGAACCCUGAUCCAGCCAUGCCGCGUGUGUGAAGAAGGCCCUCGGGUUGUAAAGCACUUUCAGUGAGGAAGAACGCCUGGUGGUUAAUACCCAUCAGGAAAGACAUCACUCACAGAAGAAGCACCGGCUAACUCCGUGCCAGCAGCCGCGGUAAUACGGAGGGUGCGAGCGUUAAUCGGAAUUACUGGGCGUAAAGCGCGCGUAGGUGGCUUGAUAAGCCGGUUGUGAAAGCCCCGGGCUCAACCUGGGAACGGCAUCCGGACCUGUCAAGCUAGAGUGCAGGAGAGGAAGGUAGAAUUCCCGGUGUAGCGGUGAAAUGCGUAGAGAUCGGGAGGAAUACCAGUGGCGAAGGCGGCCUUCUGGACUGACACUGACACUGAGGUGCGAAAGCGUGGGUAGCAAACAGGAUUAGAUACCCCGGUAGUC